GAGAAUAAGAAGAUUAUUGAAGUUGAGGCUACCGACAUAUCUGAAUUCUCACUCUCAAUGAUUACAUUUCCCAACAAUCAUUCAAGUUUAGAAAGAUAAUAAUGAUAUUUAUACUCAAACCGUGAGGAUUUGCCAAGAACAAUUCAGGUUGAUACAACCCAAAUGAAUUAUGAAAAAUCUUAUACCAAGCAGAAAAUUUGUUUUUCCAAUAAUUAAUAUCCUGCUUUUCAUCCCAAACGGGAACGGCAAUGUUUUAUAUAGGAUAGGUGCCAAUUUCAUAGGAAGCCCACAUGAUAGGCAAGAUAAUGUUUUCCAGUUUCCCUAGACAUGUGGUGCAUCAAAGUGUACAGAUUGGGAAUAUAUAGAGAGAGACAUAUACUUGGAUAAAAUUUUGACAGUUUAAAAGCAAAUUUCCAAGCAUUAUGAAUUUGGCUGAUAAAACCUUGCAACCAAGUGCUAAGCAUUCUAUGACCAGUGCCGCCAAAAGUUGCCAGACCUGUUGCUGGAAUCCGAACCACCAGAAGCAUGCUGAGACGAACCCCAACCUGAGUCCCUGUCAAAUGAGAUAACUGGGAAACGAGAUGGAUGCUCCCUUUCCCAUUGCAAAGGAUUUUCCGCAUCAUGUGGGUUUUGGCCUGAGGAGCCCGAAGGAGGAAAGAUGAAGAAACCUCCGUGACGAUCAGACUGAGGAAGNNNNN
rnacentral:lncRNA from 1 species